rnacentral:rRNA from 1 species
GACGAACGCUGGCGGCGUGCUUAACACAUGCAAGUCGAACGGAAAGGCCCUGCUUGCAGGGUACUCGAGUGGCGAACGGGUGAGUAACACGUGGGUGAUCUGCCCUGCACUUCGGGAUAAGCCUGGGAAACUGGGUCUAAUACCGGAUAGGAGCCAUUUUUAGUGUGAUGGUUGGAAAGUUUUUUCGGUGUAGGAUGAGCUCGCGGCCUAUCAGCUUGUUGGUGGGGUAAUGGCCUACCAAGGCGGCGACGGGUAGCCGGCCUGAGAGGGUGGACGGCCACAUUGGGACUGAGAUACGGCACAGACUCCUACGGGAGGCAGCAGUGGGGAAUAUUGCACAAUGGGAGCAAGCCUGAUGCAGCGACGCCGCGUGGGGGAUGACGGCCUUCGGGUUGUAAACUCCUUUCGCUAGGGACGAAGCUUUUUGUGAAGGUACCUAGAUAAGAAGCACCGGCUAACUACGUG